GAUGAACGCUAGCUACAGGCUUAACACAUGCAAGUCUAGGGGAAACGGCAUUGAGUGCUUGCACUCUUUGGACGUCGACCGGCGCACGGGUGAGUAACGCGUAUCCAACCUUCCCAUUACUGUGGGAUAACCUGCCGAAAGGCAGACUAAUACCGCAUAGUCUUCGAUGACGGCAUCAGAUUUGAAGUAAAGAUUUAUCGGUAAUGGAUGGGGAUGCGUCUGAUUAGCUUGUUGGCGGGGUAACGGCCCACCAAGGCUACGAUCAGUAGGGGUUCUGAGAGGAAGGUCCCCCACAUUGGAACUGAGACACGGUCCAAACUCCUACGGGAGGCAGCAGUGAGGAAUAGUGGGCAAUGGACGGAAGUCUGAACCAGCCAAGUAGCGUGCAGGAAGGCGGCGCUAUGGGUAGUAAACUGCUUUUGUAUGGGGAUAAAGUUAGGGACGGGUCCCUAUUUGCAGGUACCAGACGAAUAAGGACCGGCUAAUUCCGUG
rnacentral:rRNA from 1 species